GACUGUUCUAUUUGAGGACCAAAUUCAAUAGGUCAAUAUUCGAUUCAUUAUUUGAAAGUUUCAAACAUUCGCACACCCCUACCUACAAAGAACACA
rnacentral:lncRNA from 1 species